rnacentral:tRNA from 1 species
GGGGCUGUGGCUCAGUGGCAGAGCACAUGCCCAUCAUGUGUGAGGCACUGGGUUCGGUCCUCAGCACCA